GGUUAAGUGACUAAGCGUACACGGUGGAUGCCUGGGCAGUCAGAGGCGAUGAAGGACGUACUAACUUGCGAUAAGCGGUGAUGAGGCAGUAAGAGCCACUUGAGUCACCGAUUUCCGAAUGGGGAAACCCAGCUGCAUAAGCAGUUAUCAUCAGGUGAAUACAUAGCCUGGUGAGGCGAACCGGGGGAACUGAAACAUCUAAGUACCCCGAGGAAGAGAAAUCAACCGAGAUUCCGGCAGUAGCGGCGAGCGAAACCGGAUUAGCCCUUAAGCGUUUUUUGUGUCAGGUGAAGGCUCUGGAAAGUGCCGCGAUACAGGGUGACAGCCCCGUAACCGACGAUACCUUAAACGUGAAAACGAGUAGGACGGGACACGUGUUAUCUUGUCUGAAGAUGGGGGGACCAUCCUCCAAGGCUAAAUACUCCUGACUGACCGAUAGUGAACCAGUACCGUGAGGGAAAGGCGAAAAGAACCCCUGUGAGGGGAGUGAAAUAGAACCUGAAACCGUGUACGUACAAGCAGUAGGAGCCC
rnacentral:rRNA from 1 species